CCUACGGGUGGCUGCAGUGAGGAAUAUUGGUCAAUGGGCGCGAGCCUGAACCAGCCAAGUCGCGUGAGGGAAGACGGUCCUAUGGGUUGUAAACCUCUUUUGUCGGGGAGCAAAAGACGCCACGUGUGGCGUUCUGAGAGUACCCGAAGAAAAAGCAUCGGCUAACUCCGUGCCAGCAGCCGCGGUAAUACGGAGGAUGCGAGCGUUAUCCGGAUUUAUUGGGUUUAAAGGGUGCGCAGGCGGAACAUUAAGUCAGCGGUAAAAUUGAGGGGCUCAACCUCUUCGAGCCGUUGAAACUGGGUUUCUUGAGUGAGCGAGAAGUAUGCGGAAUGCGUGGUGUAGCGGUGAAAUGCAUAGAUAUCGCGCAGAACUCCGAUUGCGAAGGCAGCAUACCGGCGCUCAACUGACGCUGAGGCACGAAAGUGUGGGUAUCGAACAGGAUUAGAUACCCUUGUAGUC
rnacentral:rRNA from 1 species